UGUGGAUAUAGCUCAGUUGGUAGAGUGCUUGCCUCACAUGCACAAGACCCUGUAUUCAAUCCCCAGAACCACAA
rnacentral:tRNA from 1 species